rnacentral:rRNA from 1 species
UAGGGAAUCUUCCGCAAUGGGCGAAAGCCUGACGGAGCAACGCCGCGUGAGUGAUGAAGGUCUUCGGAUCGUAAAACUCUGUUAUUAGGGAAGAACAUAUGUGUAAGUAACUGUGCACAUCUUGACGGUACCUAAUCAGAAAGCCACGGCUAACUACGUGCCAGCAGCCGCGGUAAUACGUAGGUGGCAAGCGUUAUCCGAAAUUAUUGGGCGUAAAGCGCGCGUAGGCGGUUUUUUAAGUCUGAUGUGAAAGCCCACGGCUCAACCGUGGAGGGUCGUUGGAAACUGGAAAACUUGAGUGCAGAAGAGGAAAGUGGAAUUCCAUGUGUAGCGGUGAAAUGCGCAGAGAUAUGGAGGAACACCAGUGGCGAAGGCGACUUUCUGGUCUGUAACUGACGCUGAUGUGCGAAAGCGUGGGGAUCAAACAGGAUUAGAUACCCUGGUAGUCCACGCCGUAAACGAUGAGUGCUAAGUGUUAGGGGGUUUCCGCCCCUUAGUGCUGCAGCUAACGCAUUAAGCACUCCGCCUGGGGAGUACGACCGCAAGGUUG